rnacentral:tRNA from 1 species
GCCUGGGUGGCUCAGUUGGUUAAGCUUCUGACUUUGGCUCCAGUCGUGAUCUCACAGUUCCGUGGGUUCGAGCCCCGCAUCAGGCU